UAGGGAAUCUUCGGCAAUGGGGGCAACCCUGACCGAGCAACGCCGCGUGAGUGAAGAAGGUUUUCGGAUCGUAAAGCUCUGUUGUAAGAGAAGAACGUGUGUGAGAGUGGAAAGUUCACACAGUGACGGUAACUUACCAGAAAGGGACGGCUAACUACGUGCCAGCAGCCGCGGUAAUACGUAGGUCCCGAGCGUUGUCCGGAUUUAUUGGGCGUAAAGCGAGCGCAGGCGGUUUAAUAAGUCUGAAGUUAAAGGCCGUGGCUUAACCAUUGUUCGCUUUGGAAACUGUUAAACUUGAGUGCAGAAGGGGAGAGUGGAAUUCCAUGUGUAGCGGUGAAAUGCGUAGAUAUAUGGAGGAACACCGGUGGCGAAAGCGGCUCUCUGGUCUGUAACUGACGCUGAUGCUCGAAAGCGUGGGGAGCAAACAAG
rnacentral:rRNA from 1 species